UGGCUGUGGUGUAAAGGGAAGAGGCAGAGGAAUAGUUUCUUGGGGAGGAAGGGAUUUGGCCUGGGCUCAGAGGACCAGAUUGGAGGUUCUGCAAGCACCCUGCCGAGACACAGAGGCUGAUGUGGCCAGAAGUCUACUUAUUUAUCGUCUGUCUUUUCCCCAGCGAAACCCCAGGUGUGGGUGCACACGUCCAGCUCUGUUUGCCUGUGGCCCCAGCACUCUGCAAGCACCCAGGAAGGACCAGCCUAGCCUAUUCUUUUCUCAUCUGGCUCCAUGCAGCCUCUGUGGACCGCCAGGCUGCCCUGGCAGAGCCACGAUCAUCCUUCUCGAGACAGCUGCAGCUGAUGACAUCCCGCUGGAUGGCGCGGUCCCCAGACUUAGAUGUUCCCUUUCCUGUUUACAUCAAAAUCCAUGGCUGCACUCUGUAAAUCUGGAGUUUGGUGGUGAUGGAGCUGGAAGAGUUGUUCUAAUUUAUGUUUUUGCAACUUAGGAUGUGAUAGAUCUAUGUUCUGUUGUAUCAACAAGUGAAAAU